GUGGAAGCUAUGUAAGGACUGGAGAAACGCGUGUUCUCGUGCAAACAAACCCCAAAACAAAACAAGAGAUACUGCCUUUGGACUGGACUUUGUCCAGCCUGGAGUCACAGUGCCAGUCAAGAGCCACUCCAGAAUACUUGUGCCUGGAUCUUCACUAGGGUGUGACCUUUUAGCACGUCCGGCCUCUUCUGUGAUCCUGAAGUCACGUUUGACACUGGCGGCAUCCACAUCCGUUGAAUGGAAAGCUUCUCCAAGCAGGGGCCUCUCCCUUCCUCUUUACAGAGCCCAGCAUGCAGGAAGUGUGCAGCAUGUGUCUGUUCCUAGAUGGACAAAUGCAUCCUUGAACGAGGAGCUGGCACCUCUCUCUUGAAGAUCUGUUUAUUUCAUGUCAUGCAACUUUGGCAAGAUGUUUAUUCUUAUAGGCAAAAUUCACAGAAACCAAAAGCAUGUUCUUAAACACCCCGAGGCUCUGGGACUUCAUUGUUCUGUGCCACAGAUCAGAGGAAAGUAAUUUUGAAAGGAUCACAGGUUAUUGGAUUGUGU
rnacentral:lncRNA from 1 species